UACGUACUGUGCGAACGUUAUUCGGAAUCACUGGGCUUAAAGGGUGCGUAGGCGGCCAAUUAAGUAGGGUGUGAAAGGCUUCGGCUCAACCGGAGCAUUGCGCUCUAGACUGAUUGGCUCGAGUGAGAUAGGGGUGUGCGGAACUUCCAGUGGAGCGGUGAAAUGUGUUGAUAUUGGAAGGAACGCCGGUGGCGAAAGCGGCACACUGGGUCUUAACUGACGCUGAGGCACGAAAGCCAGGGGA
rnacentral:rRNA from 1 species